AGGGUUCGAUUCUGGCUCAGGACGAACGCUGGCGGCGUGCUUAACACAUGCAAGUCGAACGGACCUUAUAGUACUGAAUUUUUCGGAAGGAUGAAUUAUAAGGUUAGUGGCGGACGGGUGAGUAACACGUGGGUAAUCUACCAUAAAGACCGGGACAACAGUUGGAAACGACUGCUAAUACCGGAUGUGCUGAUUGAGGGGCAUCCCUUGAUCAGGAAAGGAGGCCUCUAUUUAUAAGCUCCCGCUUUAUGAUGAGCCCGCGUCUGAUUAGCUAGUUGGUGAGGUAACGGCUUACCAAGGCGACGAUCAGUAGCCGGCCUGAGAGGGUGACCGGCCACAUUGGGACUGAGACACGGCCCAA
rnacentral:rRNA from 1 species